rnacentral:misc_RNA from 1 species
UAAUAGUGUUUUAUGGCACUUUUUAAAUCCAUAUCCACCUUGUGUGCAAUGUCAGUCGAUCUUCUUCAUGGAGAUCGACCAAACAUCAACCUUUAUCUUUUAACUCUUUGUCUGAAAAAUAUUAUGAAUAAACAAUUCAAAAUA